rnacentral:rRNA from 1 species
CACGUAGGGGGCAAGCGUUGUCCGGAUUUAUUGGGCGUAAAGAGCUCGUAGGCGGCUUAGUAAGUCGGGUGUGAAACCUCCAGGCUCAACCUGGAGACGCCACCCGAUACUGCUGUGGCUAGAGUCCGGUAGGGGAGCGUGGAAUUCCUGGUGUAGCGGUGAAAUGCGCAGAUAUCGGGAGGAACACCAGUGGCGAAGGCGACUUCUUGGCCUGUUCUUGACGCUGAGGCGCGAAAGCUGGGGGAGCAAACGGG